rnacentral:rRNA from 1 species
UACGGAGGGUGCGAGCGUUGUCCGGAAUCACUGGGCGUAAAGGGCGCGUAGGCGGCCUGGUAAGUCGGGGGUGAAAUCCUGCGGCUUAACCGCAGGGCUGCCUUCUAAACUGUCAGGCUAGAGCACAGUAGAGGCAGGUGGAAUUCCCGGUGUAGCGGUGGAAUGCGUAGAGAUCGGGAAGAACAUCAGUGGCGAAGGCGGCCUGCUGGGCUGUUGCUGACGCUGAGGCGCGACAGCGUGGGGAGCAAACAGG